GGCCCGGUGGCUCAGCUGGUUAGAGCGCCGCCCUGUCACGGCGGAGGUCGUCGGUUCGAUCCCGAUCCGGGUCGC
rnacentral:tRNA from 1 species